AUGCAGUCGAACGGUGAUAGUAAUAUCAUAGUGGCGCACGGGUGCGUAACACGUAUGCAACCUACCUUAUACUUAGGGAUAGCCUUUGGAAACGGAGAUUAAUACCUGAUGGUACAGUUGACUUGGCAUCGAGUUACUGUUAAAGAUUUAUUGGUAUAAGAUGGGCAUGCGUCCAAUUAGUUAGUUGGUGAGGUAAUGGCUCACCAAGACGAUGAUUGGUAGGGGAACUGAGAGGUUAAUCCCCCACACUGGCACUGAGAUACGGGCCAGACUCCUACGGGAGGCAGCAGUAGGGAAUAUUGGGCAAUGGAGGCAACUCUGACCCAGCCAUGCCGCGUGCAGGAUGAAGGCGUUAUGCGUUGUAAACUGCUUUUAUAUAGGAAGAAAUAGACCUUGCGAGGUAAGUUGACGGUACUAUAUGAAUAAGCACCGGCUAACUCCGUGCCAGCAGCCGCGGUAAUACGGAGGGUGCAAGCGUUGUCCGGAUUUAUUGGGUUUAAAGGGUGCGUAGGCGGUUUAUUAAGUCGGUGGUGAAAGACGGUCGCUCAACGAUUGCAGUGCCAUUGAUACUGGUAGACUUGAGUGGGAUUGAGGUAGCUGGAAUGGAUAGUGUAGCGGUGAAAUGCAUAGAUAUUAUCCAGAACACCAAUUGCGUAGGCAAGUUACUAAGUCUCAACUGACGCUGAGGCACGAAAGUGUGGGUAUCAAACAGGAUUAGAUACCCUGGUAGUCCACACUGUAAACGAUGAUAACUAACUGUUGGCUUUUG
rnacentral:rRNA from 1 species